rnacentral:lncRNA from 1 species
AUGAUAGAAUCAUACAAUUGGAAAAGGUUGUUCUGCUCUUGCAGUAAAAAUUCUUCUUUGGACCUCAUCACAGGCAAUGUGGGCUCCACUACCAUGUGCUGUGGAAACAGAGUCCCACAGAGACCAUCACAUUAUGUAAGGACACUUUCGGUGGGACUCUGCAGGACUCUGUUUCUGCGGCACAUGGAAAUUGAGCCCAAAUGGCAAAAGAGGGGAAAAGAUAGGGAAAGGAUGUGCGGUAGCUGGCCAUCCUAAAAGACAGGUCUUGACGGUAGGGAACCAAGUAAGAUGGUUCCCUCCGCUUUCCCCUACUCCCCGCGCCCCCCAACACACACUCAUGAGAUGAGGUCCUUAAUGUUUAGUCAGAAUCUCCUUUCUUGUAAUUGGAAUCUAUUGAUUUGUGUUCUAAUCUCUGGAGCAGCAGGAAGCAAUUCCUUGAACAUGGCAUCCCUCAGGUAUUUAAAUAAGGCUCUCAUAUUACCUCUCAGUGUUCCCUUCUCUCAGUAAAACAUCUUCAACAUCUUAAUCAAUGACUUAGAUGAAGGCAGGGGAUGAGGAAUCCUUAGCAAGUCAGUAGGCGAGUUAUUUAAGAUAGAUGGUUGGCACUUCAGAGAACAGGAAUAAUAUUCAAAACAAUCUUAAUGGAAUGGAAAAGAGAUCCAAAACUAACAAAAUUGGUUCAGAGACAAUUGAGUUAUGAGCUCCGCUUGGAGAGAGGGGUGGGGAGAGAAUCAAAUGCAGAUGUUUGGGGUGACUGAUAGCUGGAUUGGCAUUAUAUGUACAAAAGAGUUUGGAAUUGCAUUUGAUCGAGCUUGAAUAAAUCAAUAAGAUUGUGUAGUUUCCAAAAAUCCCAAGCUCUAAUACAAAUUUAGGGCUCCUUAACAGAUGAAAAUGACCAACUCUUGGAAAGUAAUAGUUAUAUUUUAUUCUAGUCCUGUCUCAUCUGGAGUGUUAUGUUAAUUCCUUAAUGCCAUGUCCUAAGAAGGACAUAGAUAAAUUAGAAUAAAUUCAGAAGAAACGAUGACAAGUUCUGUGAGAAAAGCUUGAAGAGACUGGAUUCAUCUUGAUUGGAGGGG